UUGGCUUGUAUAUUCCUAUGAUGGGCUUCCUCAGAAUUGCCCUAGGUCUUCGUGGGCAAGCAAGUUGGAUGCACACCCACUAGUUCUCCUUUGUAUGGCAAUCCCUACGCAUUCACAUUUAUAUCUAUUAAUGGGCAUCUCCAUAGCCCUUUGAUACGCCGAGUCAAUGUGACCAUCUCCUCUUUUUUGUCUCACAACCACCACCACACUCUACUCCACCUAUAGUGCUAUAUCCAUGGCUCACGCUCAUGUAUUGCGUGAUAGUUAUAAAAAGUUUGAGAAAGUAAGAGUGCGGAAACAAUUACUUGGCCAAUACCGGGGUUGUGCAUGAUCUACAUUAGUUGUGUGAGGAUGAUGGAGCAUAGCCAGACAAUAUGAUUUUGUAGGGAUAACUUUCCUUGGCCUUGAUAUUUUGAAAGUUCAUGAUUACCUUGCUAGUUUGCUUGAAGUAUUAUUGUUUUCAAGUCAAUAGCAAACUAUUGUUUUGAAUCUUACGAAUCUGAACAUUCAUGUCACAUGAAAGAAGUUGCAAAGGACAACUAUGCUAGGUAGCAUUCCACAUCAAAAUUUCAGUCGUUAUCCCUUCCCUACUCGAGGACGAACAGGAGUUAAGCUUGGGGAUGCUUGAUACGUCUCCAACGUAUCUAUAAUAUUUGAUGGUUUCAUGCUAUUAUCUUGUCAAACUUUGGAUGUUUUGUAUACCUUUUAUAUAUUUUUUGGGACUAACUUAUUAACUCAGUGCCAAGUGCGAGUUCCUGUUUUUCCAUGUUUUUGACCCCUUUCAGAGGAGGAUUUUGAACGGAGCCCAAACGGAACGAAACUGCCAAAAACAUUUUUUCCGAAACAGAAAAAGAUCGGGAAGCCUGAGAAUCAGGGCAGGGGCCUGCAGGGACCCCACAAGCCCCCUAUCCACGGCCAGGGGGCCCACGCCUCCCUGGCUUGAGGGCUCCCUAGGACACCUAUGCCCUAGGACUUUCGCCUAUAAAUUCCCUAAAGUCCGAGAAAAAUCAGGAGAUCAUCGAAAGUACUUUUCCGCCGACGCAAGCUUCUGUCUCCGCAAGAUCCCACCUUGGGCAUGUUCUGGUGCCCUGCCGGAGGGGGAUUCGGAUACGGAGGGCUUCUUC
rnacentral:lncRNA from 1 species